rnacentral:rRNA from 1 species
GUUGCAGUUAAAAAGCUCGUAGUUGGAUUUCUGCGGGGGCGGGGCGGCCGACCUCAACUCGAGGUUCGAGCUAGCACUUCCCCUGCAUCCUGCCGCGAACCGUGCUACCAUUAGUUUGGUGGCGCUGGGGAUCGGCUCGUUUACUUUGAGAAAAAUAGAGUGUUCAAAGCAGGCCACACGCCUUGAAUAAGUUAGCAUGGAAUAAUGAUAAAGGACUUCGGUUCUAUUUUGUUGGUGUUCGGGACUGAAGUAAUGAUUGAUAGGGACAGUUGGGGCGGUCAGUAUUCCAAAGCGAGAGGUGAAAUUCUUAGACCUUCGGAAGACUAACAGCUGCGAAAGCGUUCCGCAAGGAUGUUCCCUUUGAUCAAGAACGAAAGUUGGGGGAUCGAAGACGAUCAGAUACCGUCGUAGUCUCAACUAUAAACUAUACCAGCUAGGGAUCGGCCAACGUUUACUUAUAUCGACUUGGUCGGCACCUUAUGAGAAAUCAAAGCAUCUGGGUUCCGGGGGGA